UACGUAGGGACCAAGCGUUGUUCGGAUUUACGUGGCGUAAAGGGCGCGUAGGCGGCGUGUUAAGUCACUUGUGAAAUCUCUAAGCUUAACUUAGAACGGUCAAGUGAUACUGAUGUGCUAGAGUGCAGAAGGGGCAACCGGAAUUCUUGGUGUAGCGGUGAAAUGCGUAGAUAUCAAGAGGAACACCUGAGGUGAAGACGGGUUGCUGGGCUGACACUGACGCUGAGGCGCGAAAGCUAGGGUAGCAAACGGG
rnacentral:rRNA from 1 species